UACGUAGGGUGCAAGUGUUAAUCGGAAUUACUGGGCGUAAAGCGUGCGCAGGCGGUUAUGUAAGACAGGUGUGAAAUCCCAGGGCUUAACCUUGGAACUGCAUUUGUGACUGCAUAGCUAGAGUACGGUAGAGGGGGAUGGAAUUCCGCGUGUAGCAGUGAAAUGCGUAGAUAUGCGGAGGAACACCGAUGGCGAAGGCAAUCCCCUGGACCUGUACUGACGCUCAUGCACGAAAGCGUGGGGAGCAAACAGG
rnacentral:rRNA from 1 species